AAAUAGAUAGUUACGAAAUCAUAACCGUUGAUUUACCUUUAUAUAGUUGUGAUCUUCUCACAUGACCAUGUCAUAUUUUUUUGGCAGAGGAUCCAUUUCGGGAGUAUAGCUCCUAUGUUUGUACCCUUUGAAUCAGAUUACAUCAUUCUGUCCUUACAUCACAUUCUUCUCUCCUUGCGUUUAUGGGUGGAGCUUCAAGAAGGGCAUUCAUCAAUUCUGCCGUGACCCAAAAUCAGCCGCACCUUAAGCCCCUUUCUCUUCCCUAUGCGUGUGAGUGUGGAACCCCUAAAGCUGGAAGUUGUUUCCAUCAUUCUUCCUACACCGUCUGACUUAGAAGAAGAGAACCAUGACACAAAACUUCAAUCACCUUCACCGAUUCUUUUUUUUUGUACAAAGCCGUGAACCUCCCUAAGAGAGGAACUCGACAUCCAAGCCUCUCUCCUCACUCCCUGUGCCGUUCAGCUGUGGUACAACCAGAGGAGGAAGGGUACUCCAAGUUUCUGGUUCGCUGGUGCCUAUGCAGCUUGACGGAGGUCACUCUUUCUGCAUGCAGAUUGAAGUUCGAAUUUUUCUCUCAGUUUGCUGUUUCCUUGUCUUCGGCCAAGGUAUCGCAUUCGAGGAGGUGAUGCACUCCUUUUCCCUUUUGCGCUAAGCCACUUGAAUCAUUCUGACUGAAUUUCCCUUGUGUGUAUUUGAUUCGGUGCUGAGCUGGGUCUUCUUUCCGGGGAAUGCAACUGAAUCGGACCCACUUGGAAAGCUUUGAGGGAGAAAAAAAAAUUGUCUUGAGCAAAUGGUGGCUGUUGUGUGGUUGCUAGAAGGUGCAUGUAAUUCUUAUUGAGUGAGCUGAAUUUUGGUGCUGUUGAUUAUUGCUUGGACACAAGGAGGACGAAAGAGCAUAUGAGGACGUGGUUAUAUGAUAAUUGCUGUUCAUUGCUGCAUGCUUGGAUUUUCUGCUGUCACUGUUGGUCUGUUGGAUGACUGUAUUAUUAAUUAUCAUAUUGUGAAUUUGGAUUAUUGUGGAAAGUAUGAUUUGGCUACUGUAUUAUGAGUUUUAUGACCAGAAUGCUUUUCGGAAAAUAAUUUUGUAAACGUUUUGCGAAAAAUAUUUUUGAACGUCUUGUUUAGUGCUGAUUUAUAAACUACUUUUGCGAGCACUUUACGAGUUGUCGUUCUGGGGCUACAGACCUCCGAUUGAGGUAUAAUUUAUAUGUAUGGAAUGCCCCAGUUGUGUACUUUCAGAUUAUACAAACCUUACAAAGAAGUUCUUAAAUCCCGAUUUAUUAUGAUUUUUGCAAGUCAGGGGAUUUUUAGAAAAAUAUACUGGAUUUUCGAGUAUUUUGCGAGUUAUGUUUUGUGAGGCUAUUCUCCUCUGAUUCGCGUAUAAUUUAUAUGCAUGCGAUGCCCCAGAUGUCUAGUUUCUACAUAGGAAAGAAAAGUUUUGUAAACUGCAAGAACCUAAUUUAUACGAAUUUUUCAAGACAGCAAGGUUUCAGGAAAGAUAAAUAAUUUCAGCAAACCAUCUAUUUUUAAAUUGUCACUCUGAUUUUACAAGCACCCAGAUUUCAAAUCAAGUUUUUAAAUAGUUGCGUCAGAACUCUAAUCC